UACGUAGGGACCGAGCGUUGUCCGGAUUCAUUGGGCGUAAAGAGCUCGUAGGCGGCUCAGUAAGUCGGGUGUGAAACCCUCAGGCUCAACCUGGGGACGCCACCCGAUACUGCUGUGGCUAGAGUCCAGUAGGGGAGUGUGGAAUUCCCGGUGUAGCGGUGAAAUGCGCAGAUAUCGGGAGGAACACCAGCGGCGAAGGCGGCACUCUGGGCUGGUACUGACGCUGAGGAGCGAAAGCGUGGGUAGCAAACAGG
rnacentral:rRNA from 1 species